CCAUCAUUUAAAGAAAGCGUAAUAGCUCACUGGUCGAGUCGGCCUGCGCGGAAGAUGUAACGGGGCUAAACCAUGCACCGAAGCUGCGGCAGCGACGCUUAUGCGUUGUUGGGUAGGGGAGCGUUCUGUAAGCCUGCGAAGGUGUGCUGUGAGGCAUGCUGGAGGUAUCAGAAGUGCGAAUGCUGACAUAAGUAACGAUAAAGCGGGUGAAAAGCCCGCUCGCCGGAAGACCAAGGGUUCCUGUCCAACGUUAAUCGGGGCAGGGUGAGUCGACCCCUAAGGCGAGGCCGAAAGGCGUAGUCGAUGGGAAACAGGUCAAUAUUCCUGUACUUGGUGUUACUGCGAAGGGGGGACGGAGAAGGCUAUGUUGGCCGGGCGACGGUUGUCCCGGUUUAAGCGUGUAGGCUGGUUUUCCAGGCAAAUCCGGAAAACUAAGGCUGAGGCGUGAUGACGAGGCACUACGGUGCUGAAGCAACAAAUGCCCUGCUUCCAGGAAAAGCCUCUAAGCAUCAGGUAACAUCAAAUCGUACCC
rnacentral:rRNA from 1 species